rnacentral:rRNA from 1 species
AUGACAUUUAGGGGAAGAAGUCAGUUCAAGAGGGCACUGGUGAAGUAUGGCCUUGCUAUGAAGAGGCAUAUUUGCUUUGUAAAAGAUGAGGCUGGUAGGAUUAGGGCAAAAUGUUCUUGGCCUAAGUGUCCUUGGUUGAUUUAUGGUGCAAAGAGGAGCUCAAAUGAUUGGUUUCAAGUCAUAACACUUGUUGACAACCACAUAUGCCCACAGAGGAGAGACAAUAGAUUGGUUACUGCAUCUAGAAUUGCAGACAAGUAUGAGAGAAUUAUGAAGGCAAAUCCAGGAUGGAAAGUGAAAUGUAUUAAGGCCACUGUCAGAUUAGAGAUGUUUGCAAAUGUGCAUGUUUCCAAGAUAAAGAAAGCAAAAGCAAUAGUCAGAAAGAGAGUUAGAGAAGCAAUGCAUGAAUAA